GCGGUCGUGGCGAAGUGGUUAACGCACCGGAUUGUGGCUCCGGCACUCGUGGGUUCGAUCCCCAUCGAUCGCC
rnacentral:tRNA from 1 species